rnacentral:lncRNA from 1 species
GGCGAGGGGAACGCCGAGCACCUCACAGAACUGCUGCUCCUCUCCCCCAAGUUACGAAGGCCAGGGGAAUCAUUUUAGAAGUGGAAAAUUCACUUUCCAAAAAAAAUAAAAAAAGGGAAAAGAAAGAAAAAGAAAGGAGAGAAAAAAAUAGAGAAAAGGAAGAAAAGGGGAAAAAAAAGGAAAAGGAAAACCAGGCCGGCCGGGCAGGGAGGGAGAGCGGCGAGUGGCAAUCUGCUAGAUGGAAAAAGGAAAAAGCACAGCGUUUCCCUGGGAGGAUGAGUGCGGCGGGACGCCCGGCCUCGGCCAGCGGCAACUAGGAGAGGACCGGCUGCUCCGCGGGACGGCUCGCCGGGACGCACCCACCCACCCUGGAGGGCAGGCACACGGGGCACAGGAAUUCAAGAUCACACAACCAGCACCUUCAGUGGAGAAAAACUAUUUUGCUGGCAACUCUUUUUAA